rnacentral:rRNA from 1 species
UGGGGAAUAUUGCACAAUGGGCGAAAGCCUGAUGCAGCAACGCCGCGUGAGUGAUGAAGGCCUUCGGGUUGUAAAGCUCUGUCUUCUGGGACGAUAAUGACGGUACCAGAGGAGGAAGCCACGGCUAACUACGUGCCAGCAGCCGCGGUAAUACGUAGGUGGCAAGCGUUGUCCGGAUUUACUGGGCGUAAAGGAUGCGUAGGCGGAUACUUAAGUCAGAUGUGAAAAUCCCGGGCUUAACUUGGGAACUGCAUUUGAAACUGGGUAUCUAGAGUGCGGGAGAGGAAAGUGGACUUCCUAGUGUAGCGGUGAAAUGCGUAGAGAUUAGGAAGGACACCAGUGGCGAAGGCGACUUUCUGGACCGUAACUGACGCUGAGGCAUGAAAGCGUGGGGAGCAAACA